rnacentral:rRNA from 1 species
UUGUCUCAAAGAUUAAGCCAUGCAUGUCUCAGUACAAGCCAAAAUAAGGUGAAACCGCGAAAGGCUCAUUAAAUCAGUUAUGGUUCCUUAGAUCGUACCCACAUUUACUUGGAUAACUGUGGUAAUUCUAGAGCUAAUACAUGCAAACAGAGCUCCGACCGGAGACGGAAGGAGCGCUUUUAUUAGAUCAAAACCAAUCGGCGGCGGAUGCUCGCGUGUCUGUCGUCGUCUAUUCUGGUGAAUCUGAAUAACUUUUUGCUGAUCGCAUGGUCUCGUACCGGCGACGCAUCUUUCAAAUGUCUGCCUUAUCAACUGUCGAUGGUAGGUUCUGUGCCUACCAUGGUCGUAACGGGUAACGGGGAAUCAGGGUUCGAUUCCGGAGAGGGAGCCUGAGAAACGGCUACCACAUCCAAGGAAGGCAGCAGGCGCGCAAAUUACCCACUCCCGGCACGGGGAGGUAGUGACGAAAAAUAACGAUACGGGACUCAUCCGAGGCCCCGUAAUCGGAAUGAGUACACUCUAAAUCCUUUAACGAGGAUCAAUUGGAGGGCAAGUCUGGUGCCAGCAGCCGCGGUAAUUCCAGCUCCAAUAGCGUAUAUUAAAGUUGUUGCGGUUAAAAAGCUCGUAGUCGAAUCUGUGUCCCGCGCCGCCGGUUCAUCGUUCGCGGUGUUUAACUGGCGUGUCCGCGGGACGUCCUGCCGGUGGGCUUAGCCGAGUGUGUGUUAUAUGCGUUACGUUUGUGCGCUUCGCGCGUACGGCUUUCGUAUGUGCGCGCAUGAGGCGGCCCAACUCGAAAUCCCGCCGCGGUGCUCUUCGUUGAGUGUCGAGGCGGGCCGGCACUUUUACUUUGAACAAAUUAGAGUGCUUAAAGCAGGCUACAAUUUCGCCUGAAUACUGUGUGCAUGGAAUAAUGGAAUAGGACCUCGGUUCUAUUUUGUUGGUUUUCGGAACCCCGAGGUAAUGAUUAAUAGGAACGGAUGGGGGCAUUCGUAUUGCGACGUUAGAGGUGAAAUUCUUGGAUCGUCGCAAGACGGACAGAAGCGAAAGCAUUUGCCAAAAACGCUUUCAUUGAUCAAGAACGAAAGUUAGAGGUUCGAAGGCGAUCAGAUACCGCCCUAGUUCUAACCAUAAACGAUGCCAGCUAGCGAUCCGCCGACGUUCCUCCGAUGACACGGCGGGCAGCUUCCGGGAAACCAAAGCUUUUGGGUUCCGGGGGAAGUAUGGUUGCAAAGCUGAAACUUAAAGGAAUUGACGGAAGGGCACCACCAGGAGUGGAGCCUGCGGCUUAAUUUGACUCAACACGGGAAACCUCACCAGGCCCGGACACCGGAAGGAUUGACAGAUUGAUAGCUCUUUCUUGAUUCGGUGGGUGGUGGUGCAUGGCCGUUCUUAGUUGGUGGAGCGAUUUGUCUGGUUAAUUCCGAUAACGAACGAGACUCUACCCUGCUAAAUAGGCGUAUUUCCGACAUCUCGAAGGCCCGCCGGCCGUUUUUCUCGCUUCCGGUUUCGGCCGGGGCGGUGACAGUCGUGCGCGGUUUUUACUGUCGGCGUACAAACAAAUCUUCUUAGAGGGACAGGCGGCUUCUAGCCGCACGAGAUUGAGCAAUAACAGGUCUGUGAUGCCCUUAGAUGUUCUGGGCCGCACGCGCGCUACACUGAAGGAAUCAGCGUGUCCUCCCUGACCGAGAGGUCCGGGAAACCCGUUGAAACUCCUUCGUGCUAGGGAUUGGGGCUUGCAAUUGUUCCCCAUGAACGAGGAAUUCCCAGUAAACGCGAGUCAUAAGCUCGCGUUGAUUACGUCCCUGCCCUUUGUACACACCGCCCGUCGCUACUACCGAUUGAAUGAUUUAGUGAGGUCUUCGGACCGGUACGCGGUGGCGUUUCGAUGUCACCGAUGCUGCUGGGAAGAUGACCAAACUUGAUCAUUU